rnacentral:misc_RNA from 1 species
GAUGAAGAACGCAGCGAAAUGCGAUAAGUAAUGUGAAUUGCAGAAUUCAGUGAAUCAUCGAAUCUUUGAACGCACAUUGCGCCCGCCAGUAUUCUGGCGGGCAUGCCUGUUCGAGCGUCAUUUCAACCAUCAAGCCCCAGGCUUGUGUUGGGGACCUGCGGCUGCCGCAGGCCCUGAAAACCAGUGGCGGGCUCGCUGUCACACCGGGCGUAGUAGAUUUUAUCUCGCCCAGGGCGUGCUGCGGGUUCCGGCCGUUAAAAAGCCUUUUUUACCCAAGGUUGACCUCGGAUCAGGUAGGAAGACCCGCUGAACUUAAGCAUAUCAAUAAGCGGAGGA